CCAAAAGAAACAUAGGAACGCAUAGAACUAGAGUCCAGAUGAGAGGGCAGAGCUAGGAGGAGAUGCUGAUAUGCAUAGAUUACAUAGAAGAGACUACAAAUAGAUGCAGAUAUAGCAGAAGACAAUCGAGUUGUAUAUGUUAUGUAUAGAACAUACAUAUACUACGAUGUGGCAUUAUAUAACAGUGGUCGAUCGAUGACAAAUUUAUCUGAUGCCAUGGAGAAUAGUUCUUGUCACCGAGACAAGUAGCUGCUUUGCUAAACUCCCUGAUCUCUCCUUAUAUUGGUUGAUUAUCUGAUGCGGACGAUGUAACUUAAGUAUGUUCAGAAGAUGUCUUCAUCCAAAACUAGGCUUGACCAGCGGGUGGGAAGCGACUAGAGAAUAUGAUGUCUUUACUCAACUAUUUGUAAAUGUCAAGGAAUUUGUAUAGUAAAUAUAUGAGCUUAUGUGA